CAGUAGCCGCGGGAAUACGGAGGGUGCAAGCGUUGUCCGGAUUUAUUGGGUUUAAAGGGUGCGUAGGCGGCCUAAUAAGUCAGUGGUGAAAGCCUCCAGCUUAACUGGAGAACUGCCAUUGAUACUGUUAGGCUUGAGUAUACUUGAGGUAGGCGGAAUUGACAGUGUAGCGGUGAAAUGCAUAGAUAUUGUCAAGAACACCAAUUGCGAAGGCAGCUUACUAAAUUAUAACUGACGCUGAGGCACGAAAGUGUGGGUAUCAAACAGGAUUAGAUACCCGCGUAGUCCCUGUCUCUUAUAC
rnacentral:rRNA from 1 species